GUUGUGUAGUAAAUAGGGCAACGGAAUCGCAGACUGAAGUAGCUAACGCUGACAGCAAAGGCCCGGCAGUGAAAUGGACACCGACAGAGAUAGGGGCGGUGAAUUCCGCCUCUACCCAGCAUGGCACAGCAAGGGAAAAAGACCCUUAUCAACAUCCGUCAAACCGCCUUGGGUAUCUGGUCCGAAAACUGCCGGAACAAGCCGAACCGAACAACCAUCUAGUCCCAUUAUCUCUUACAUCCCUCGUCGAAGUUAAAUGACUUCCGGAAUACAGACUGCAUAUUACAUACUUGACAAGCUGGUCGCAGUCGUUUUGCACACAAUGGGUAGUUAUUAUGAAGACGUUUUCGGGAAUUUGACCCGGCGGCAAGAUACAGUUCCGUGACUGAUUUUAGACCUCUAUUUCUUCGCACGCCUUUUCCAUAUAUUUUUUUUUAUAACUUGAAACCACAAAAUCAUGUUUAAACAUUUCAUGCAUGUAUCUGUCAGUGCAAAUA